GACGAACGCUGGCGGCGUGGACUUAAGCAUGCAAGUCGAACGGAGAUACGAUUUCGGUUGUAUCUUAGUGGCGAACGGGUGAGUAACGCGUGAGCAACCUGACUCUUAGAGGGGGAUAACACCUGGAAACAAGUGCUAAUACCGCAUAAGACCACGACCCGACAUCGGGAUGAGGUCAAAGGAGCAAUCCGCUGAGAGAGGGGCUCGCGUCCCAUUAGAUAGAUGGCGGGGUAACGGCCCACCAUGUCCGCGAUGGGUAGCCGAGCUGAGAGGCUGAUCGGCCACACUGGAACUGAGACACGGUCCAGACUCCCACGGGAGGCAGCAGUGGGGAAUAUUGGGCAAUGGGCGCAAGCCUGACCCAGCAACGCCGCGUGAGGGAAGAAGGCUUUCGGGUUGUAAACCUCUGUCCUUGGUGACGAAAAAUGACGGUAGCCAAGGAGGAAGCCCCGGCUAACUACGUG
rnacentral:rRNA from 1 species